AUGUUAAUGUUACUACUAUAUCAAUCACUGCAAGGUGUCCGAAAACUUAAGACAUAUUACUACUAUAUCGAUCCCUUGAUCAUUCUUGUUUCUACAAUGAAGCCAAAAAUUGUCUCAGAGACUGAAUUUCAUAUUAUAAAAUAUAACAUUCUUCAUUCUUAUUUCUACAAUGAAGCCAAAAAGUGUCUCAAAAGAAACUUGAUUUCAUAUUUUAAACAUGCAAACGAAACAACAAAGGUGAUACAUUACGUCAAACAAUGGCAGAGUAUUUGA